rnacentral:lncRNA from 1 species
AGUCAGUAGACUGCAAAGCAGAAAUGACAGAAUAACAGUAUCUCCUUAUGUGACAGUAGAGAAUUGAAGGACAAAAAGGGAAAGAAAGAGACGAAAAAAACAAACAGAGAAGCAGUGAAGGAAGUAACAACAAAGUUAAAAAAAGGCGCCAUUUUUAAUGAAGGGCAAAAGGAUGCAAGAGGACAAAAAAAGGACAAAAAAGAUGCGGUGGAGGAAAGCGAGCAAAUAAAUUAAAGAGCAUGUUCCAGCAAAAAUAAGAACGGCGCCGUUUUUUAAUGAAGGACAAAUGGAUGCAAGAAGACAAAAAGAUAAUAAAGAUGCGGUGGAGGAAGGCAAGUGAAUGACAAAUAGUAAAAGCCCUCCGCGUUAUAUUAGAUAUAUUAAUUAU